rnacentral:lncRNA from 1 species
CGCUUUCUCAUAUAGUACUGUAUUUAAUGCUCACAAUAAUUUCAUCGGAUGGGCAUUAAUUUAUUCACUUUGUAAAUAAGGAAAUGAGAUUCAGAAAGAAUAAUAGAUCAAGUAUACUUCAGUUAAAAAAAAAAAAAAAAAAAAGAAGAGGCCCAAAGUUGCAGAGCUAGAAAAUGGCAGUUAGAAUUUAAACUCUGAUUCUUAAUCCUGGCCCUUUAAUCAUUAUACUUUAUUACCUUCCAAACUAAAGGGAAGAUGAAAGAAAAGUUAGAAACAACAAAUGAGCCUAUACCUCACAGUUAUCUCUGGAACAUCAGUGACUGCCUUGCAAACAAGACCCCUAACCAUUGACCUCUGUUCUCUCCCUGUCUGUUAAUGUAUAAUACAGCAGAAAAUCAAGCAAGCAUUGUAAAUCAGCCGUUAUUAGGAGAUGCAUUCGAAAGCCCUCCUGGAGUUCCUGCUGUGGUGCACUGAGCUCUGCUCUUCAGUGAAGAGGAGAGACCGCGUCUGGGUCCCCGCCGCCUUCUGGGAAGUUUCCUUUUCAUCCUGAAAACGUCACCUUCCGUUCCAGUGUGCAUGCACCUAAAGGUAAUGAAAACCAGUCAGAACCAGGAAUUUCUCAACUAGUUGCACUUGGCUGACCAUGGGAGGAGAGGAGGCGGUGCAGCGCACGACAGCAGCGCCUUUCUGAGAAGGUGAGUGUGUGCAGAAUAUUCUCUCGGAAAAACACCAGAGUUAAAUCCCUCCAAGCUAAGUUCUUCAUGGACCCUGACCCUGCCUCUAGCUCCAUUUCCUGCCCAUACCUGUGUGGCACAUAAAAACAAAAGAGCAGUGUGACUAAUUUAAAAGCUUACCCAAUGAAGCGCUUAUUUCCUCAAAAUAAUUGGGUGGUACCCUCCACUUGGGAAAAGAGAAGCAUUUUUCAGCUUAUUUUCUUGUUCUAUUUAUUUUAAAAUAUUUAUUGACCCAAAGGCCAUAUGGUCCCCUCUUCUUACUGCCUCCCCCAUAGAAGCUGCAAAGCCUGGCGCUUUGCUUUCCCAGCAUCCCUUUCAGCUAGUGGUGGUCAUGUGACUCAGUUAUAGCCAUUGAGACCUCACCCGAUGUGGCUUUGGGGAAAGCUCUUACUUUCAUUAUAGAAGAGACAGAAAUAGCCUGUGCUGCCUCUUUCUCCUUCCCCUUGUCUUGAACAUGAAUUUGAUGCCUAGCAAUGCUGGCAGUUACCUUGGGACUAUAAGUUGGUAAGAAUGAAGACGAAAGCCAGCACGCACAGGUUGAAGGGGAAAGGAUGAAAAGAACCCGGGUCCUCAAAACUUCAUUGAAAAAAUAAAUUAAAAGCUAAAGGGGGAAGAAAGUCUCA